rnacentral:rRNA from 1 species
GAAUCUUCCACAAUGGACGGAAGUCUGAUGGAGCAACGCCGCGUGAGCGAAGAAGGUCUUCGGAUCGUAAAGCUCUGUUGUAAGGGAAGAACAAGUACAGUAGUAACUGGCUGUACCUUGACGGUACCUUAUUAGAAAGCCACGGCUAACUACGUGCCAGCAGCCGCGGUAAUACGUAGGUGGCAAGCGUUGUCCGGAAUUAUUGGGCGUAAAGCGCGCGCAGGCGGUCCUUUAAGUCUGAUGUGAAAGCCCACGGCUCAACCGUGGAGGGUCAUUGGAAACUGGGGGACCUGAGUGCAGAAGAGGAAAGUGGAAUUCCAAGUGUAGCGGUGAAAUGCGUAGAGAUUUGGAGGAACACCAGUGGCGAAGGCGACUUUCUGGUCUGUAACUGACGCUGAGGCGCGAAAGCGUGGGGAGCAAACAAG